CAUGGCUCAGGACGAACGCUGGCGGCGUGCCUAAUACAUGCAAGUCGAGCGGACAGAUGGGAGCUUGCUCCCUGAUGUUAGCGGCGGACGGGUGAGUAACACGUGGGUAACCUGCCUGUAAGACUGGGAUAACUCCGGGAAACCGGGGCUAAUACCGGAUGGUUGUUUGAACCGCAUGGUUCAGACAUAAAAGGUGGCUUCGGCUACCACUUACAGAUGGACCCGCGGCGCAUUAGCUAGUUGGUGAGGUAACGGCUCACCAAGGCGACGAUGCGUAGCCGACCUGAGAGGGUGAUCGGCCACACUGGGACUGAGACACGGCCCAGACUCCUACGGGAGGCAGCAGUAGGGAAUCUUCCGCAAUGGACGAAAGUCUGACGGAGCAACGCCGCGUGAGUGAUGAAGGUUUUCGGAUCGUAAAGCUCUGUUGUUAGGGAAGAACAAGUGCCGUUCAAAUAGGGCGGCACCUUGACGGUACCUAACCAGAAAGCCACGGCUAACUACGUGCCAGCAGCCGCGGUAAUACGUAGGUGGCAAGCGUUGUCCGGAAUUAUUGGGCGUAAAGGGCUCGCAGGCGGUUUCUUAAGUCUGAUGUGAAAGCCCCCGGCUCAACCGGGGAGGGUCAUUGGAAACUGGGGAACUUGAGUGCAGAAGAGGAGAGUGGAAUUCCACGUGUAGCGGUGAAAUGCGUAGAGAUGUGGAGGAACACCAGUGGCGAAGGCGACUCUCUGGUCUGUAACUGACGCUAGA
rnacentral:rRNA from 1 species